AAUAUUGGUCAGUGGAGGCAACUCUGAACCAGCCAAGUCGCGUGUAGGAUGAAGGUCUUUUGGUUUGUAAACUUCUUUUUCAAGGGAAUAAAUUGGGGGACGGGUCUUCCUUUGCAUCUACCUUGCGAAUAAGGACCGGCUAACUCCUUGCCAGCAGCCGCGGUAUUACGGAGGAUCCGAGCGUUAUCCGGAUUUAUUGGGUUUAAAGGGUGCGCAGGCGGGAUGUUAAGUCGGCGGUGAAAUUUUGCAGCUCAACUGUAAAAGUGCCUUCGAUACUGGCUUCCUUGAGUGUGGAUGAAGUAGGCGGAAUUUGUGGUGUAGCGGUGAAAUGCUUAGAUAUCACGAGGAACUCCGAUUGCGCAGGCAGCUUACUAAACCACUACUGACGCUCAUGCACGAAGGCGUGGGGAUCAAACAGG
rnacentral:rRNA from 1 species